AUUAAAAAAUACAUCAACCCUGAACAAGCCCAAUCCUGUCUGAUCUCGGAAGCUAAGCAGAGUCAGGCCUGGUUAGUACUUGGAUGGGAGACCACCUAGAAAGACCAGGUGCUUUAGGUG
rnacentral:rRNA from 1 species